rnacentral:SRP_RNA from 1 species
GCUGGACAUGGUGGCGCAUGUCUGUAAUCCCAGCUACUCAGGAGGCUGAGGCGGAGAAUCACUUGAACCCAGGAGAUGGAGGUUGCAGUGAGCUGAGAUCAUGCCACUGCACUCCAGCCUGGGUGACACAGUGAGAUACUGUCUCAA